AGUUAAUAUUUAUGACCAUAGAAUCAAAAAAUUACUAAAUAAAAGAUAAAUCAAAUUAAUAGCAUAUUAAUGUGAUUAUUUAUUUUUUAAAAAUUUAUAGCUACUAUUUAAAAUUAAAUAGGAUGUCCAAUAUAAUAGGAUAUUCGGCUAUGAUUUGGAUAGUUAUUUAUCCAUAUUGAUAUUUUUUUUUAGACAUAUAUAAAUAUUAAUCAGAUGUUUAAAUUUCUAUUCAUAUUUAAAUAUAUUUCGGCUAUGAAAAUGAGAUACCUCCGAUCCCUUUCACCCAUGGCCGUCUGCCAUCUACUCUUCUGCAAUUGCAUGAGAAGUCUCCACCAGAUACCGAUGUCUUCAUCGCCCAAACCCUCAUCCAGUUCUCCGCCUAAGCUCCAACCCCCUCAAUGCCCUCCUCUUUUAUACUCACAUUCUCUUCUCCACGAUCAGCUGGUCUGGACAGAGACACCCACCCACAUUCCUUCUUCUAAAAAGCUUCUUCAUUGAUCUCAUCCUUACGCUUGGCGAAAUGGUCCAAGCCCAAGUAUCCAAAUUUGGCUGGGCGCCUCACGAGCUCCCAUCCAGAACUU
rnacentral:lncRNA from 1 species